UACAGAGGGUGCAAGCGUUAAUCGGAAUUACUGGGCGUAAAGCGCGCGUAGGUGGUUCAGUAAGUUGGAAGUGAAAUCCCCGGGCUCAACCUGGGAACUGCUUUCAAAACUGCUGAGCUAGAGUACGGUAGAGGGUGGUGGAAUUUCCUGUGUAGCGGUGAAAUGCGUAGAUAUAGGAAGGAACACCAGUGGCGAAGGCGACCACCUGGACUGAUACUGACACUGAGGUGCGAAAGCGUGGGAGCAAACAGG
rnacentral:rRNA from 1 species